rnacentral:piRNA from 1 species
UUCCCCAGGCAAACUCUGCCGUCAUUCUGCC